rnacentral:lncRNA from 1 species
GUUCUUCUAUAGUAGUUUGUUUUCUGUGGAGAUUCCGAGACCGAUGGCGGAUCAAACAGGCAUAUUAUGGCCUUGCGGCGGUGAUUCGGCGCAUCACGUGUAAGGACGGGUAGUGAGGCUGUACUCCGAAACAGAGACUACAUAUUGUUAAACCAAUAACUUCCUUUUAUUAUGACAUCAGAGAGAGCUCUUUACAAAUUGAUUAGAAGGUUACAAUGUAAUUCCCAACAUUUUGUUUCCAUACCUUAAAAGUGGGGAGUAUUCCAAAGGUUCAAAUUCAGGUACGUUGGCAGUCGUUGGUUUAUAAAGUUCGUAAGGGAGACAGGAUAGCCUUAACUCGUCUUUAGAUGGGAAGACGAUGACAGAGACACUUUGGGAGAAAAAUUUAGAAACAGGAAAUAACUCAUAUAGUCAGCACAGGCGGUGGAUCUGGCAGCAAGCUGUCAGUUUCCGACGAAAUGACGGAGACGUAAGUAGCGAUGGACAAAGCGUUUAUAGAGGUACUGAUGAUUUUUCUCUUUUUAACGUUUUCUCUUGUCUUAUUUCUAAUUUGUGUCCCCUGAGAUACUUCCCACGAGGGCUUUCAUAGAGUCUCCUAUAUCUCGACCUUUCACCUUAGCUGGCAAAGAGGAGAAUGAUGUUUAGGACGUUUGUCCCAACCCAACACCUGUGUUUAUCAUUUGUCAUUUGGUUUAAUUGUGGUGGAAACAACAGUCC